GCUGGAAUUGCUAGUAAUGGCAGGUCAGCAUACUGCCGUGAAUAACGUUCCCGGGGCCCUUGUACACACCGCCCGUCACACCAUGAGAGUUGGAAAUACCCGAAGCCUGUGAGCUAACUUUUAGAGGCAGCAGUCGAAGGUAGAGCCAAUGAUUGGGGUGAAGUCGUAACAAGGUAUC
rnacentral:rRNA from 1 species